rnacentral:rRNA from 1 species
GACGAGGUGCACAAACGUUAUUCGGAAUUACUGGGCUUAAAGCGUGCGUAGGCGGCCUAGCAAGUCGGGUGUGAAAGCCCUCGGCUCAACCGAGGAAUUGCGCCCGAAACUGCUGGGCUUGAGUGAGACAGAGGUGAGCGGAACUGAUGGUGGAGCGGUGAAAUGCGCAGAUAUCAGGAAGAACACCCGUGGCGAAGGCGGCUCUCUGGGACGGUACUGACGCUGAGACGCGAAAGCGUGGGGAGCGAACAGG